rnacentral:rRNA from 1 species
ACUCAAAUGAAUUGACGGGGGCCCGCACAAGCAGCGGAGCGUGUGGUUUAAUUCGAGGCAACGCGAAGAACCUUACCCGGGUUUGACAUGCAUCUGGUAGCGAAGGGAAACUGGAGCGACCCGCAAGGGAGGAUGCACAGGUGCUGCAUGGCUGUCGUCAGCUCGUGCCGUGAGGUGUUAGGUUAAGUCCUGUAACGAGCGCAACCCUUACUGCCAGUUACAAGUGUCUGGCGGGACUGCCGGCGUGAAGCCGGAGGAAGGUGGGGAUGACGUCAAGUCAGCAUGGCCUUUAUAUCCGGGGCGACACACACGCUACAAUGGGUGGCACAGAGGGAAGCCAAACCGCGAGGUGGAGCGAAUCUCACAAAGUCAUCCGUAGUUCGGAUUGCAGGCUGCAACUCGCCUGCAUGAAGCUGGAGUUGCUAGUAACCGCGCAUCAGCCACGGUGCGGUGAAUACGUUCCCGGGCCUUGUACACACCGCCCGU